AAAGAGCGAUAUGUAGUGCGAAAUGCGCUCACCUGAGAGUCAUCGAGUUUUUGAACGCAACUUGCGUCCCGCGGGCAACUGCGGGGCAUGUCUGUUUGAGCAUCGGAAUUACAUUGCUUCACGCGAGGCAGAGUUGGGGCGUCGGAUCGUCGGAUCGGCGGAUCGGCGGCCUGGAACGCAGAGGAGGACAGCGAGCUGUCGCAGCGUGCUAGUUGCGUGGCAGCAAGAUCGCGGCAGGCAGCGGCUGUCUGCAGUGUGAGUGUGUGAUGCAAUUUGGUUUGCACAUACAAAGAUGCUGCACUGCACAGUACAUUUGAUCUCAAAUCAGACAGGACUACCCGCUCAACUUAA
rnacentral:misc_RNA from 1 species